ACCUGGCUGGCUCAGUAGAGCACGUGACCCUUGAUCUCAGGGUCAUGAGUUCAAACCCCAUGUUGGGUG
rnacentral:tRNA from 1 species